rnacentral:rRNA from 1 species
GUGCCAGCAGCCGCGGUAAUUCCAGCUCCAAUAGCGUAUAUUAAAGUUGCUGCGUUUAAAAAGCUCGUAGUUGGAUCUCGGUUCCAGGCUUGCGGUCCGCCUCGAGGUGGAUACUGCUCGUCCUGUGUUCGACGUCGUGGUGGUUCCUUGGUGCUCUUGACUGAGUGUCUCGGACGGUCCCGAACGUUUACUUUGAAAAAAUUAGAGUGCUCAAAGCAGGCGUAUCGCCUGAAUAAUUCCGCAUGGAAUAAUGGAAUAGGACCUCGGUUCCAGUUUCGUUGGUUUGCGAAUCCUUGAGGUAAUGAUUAAUAGGGACUGCCGGGGGCAUACGUAUUGCGGCGGGAGAGGUGAAAUUCGUGGAUCGCCGCAAGACGAACGACAGCGAAAGCAUUUGCCAAGAAUGUUCUCAUUAAUCAAGAACGAAAGUCAGAGGUUCGAAGAC